CAUAGCAGCCAUAUCACCCUGCAGCCCAAGACUGGUUGCCCACUGAAGCUAAGCAGGGUUGAGCCUGGUCAGUACCUGGAUGGGAGACCUCCUGGGAAAACUAGGUUGCUGCUGGAA
rnacentral:rRNA from 1 species